GCCAGCGCCAUGGAGGGCAUCUCCUCAAAGUUCGGUCCCCAUCACCAGCGCCCUGGAAGGCGACCUCCACCGCAGCUUUCCGCCGCCGGUGAUGCGGUCACGGAUUUGCGGGUGCAUGGCGACCGGCGUUCGCACAGGCACCAGCCCUGCCGGAUGUGAAUCCUUCUCGCUAAGGUGAGGUGCCAUCACUGACUACGGGUUUCCAUGCUGAAAAGUGCUGACGAGCAAGGGAUAAGGAGCUUCUAGAUGCCUGGGGAGGAUGGAACCCUAUCUCUUCAUGAUUGAGAGUAAGAAGACUGCAUGGAGAAAUUUGGAGUUGGAACAAGAACAUGACUGCAGAAGAAAGCAAGGGAGAAAUGGCUUGUGGAUGCAUGAGGGGCUGUGGGGUUGGGGAACUCGAUGAAGCCACAUCUCUCCAAGUUUGACAUAGAUAGGCCGAGUGGGAGGAAGAAAAAAACCAGAUAUGUGCUACAACUAAACUGCGACUUCGCAAAAUAAGCAUAGAUGGUAAUAUUCCAGAUGUCCUCACUGCUGAGAGCUUUUGCUUGCCGGGAUAGAGCAAUCAUGGUAUGUAACUGAACAAAGAGCCGGGAUAGAGCACACAAGGUGAUUAUCGAGACAGACAACAUCAAGAUGCAAAGAAGAUAUAAAGAGGAGCCUGCAUAAAUUCUUGCUACCUGACAGCUGAUGUUGAUGGCUUGAUGCCCUAUCAGCAGCAUGAAAGAUCUUGCUUCUCUAGGCCUACAAGGUGUUCGAUAAAAUUCCAAGGAUGUUUGGGGAGGAUUGAUCUCUGGAACGGUGGUGCAGUUGGUGUGAGUCAAGGAAGGGCAGGGGUGAGAGCGUCCCAGUGACCGCCACCCAGCGACGCCGGUGGCGAGCACCUCGAGCCAGGUAUGGUUCCUGUUCGUUCUUGACUUCUACAUUUACUUCGCUUCCACCAGAUGGCUAGCAAACAGAUUGGACUUUGACAUGGAUUGGAGCAAAGAGAAGAGUCACAGGAAGGUGCUUUGGAGGAAGAGCUCAACAAAAUAAUUUCUUACUCCAGGGAGCAUUUCUUACUAAAUCUCAAAAUCCUCUCAAUUCUUGUUGUUCUCAGUUCAUAACCCGUCAGACAAAUAUGCAUGCCCAGACACGCACUAUCUUCAGUUUAGUACCUUCACGAGUAGAGGACAGAUUAGGGUAGCGACUUUUAGGUUGCAGUUUGGUGGCCUGAUAGGGUAGAUGGCUUGAUGUUCUUUUAAGUUCUUGCAGUUAAUCAUUAACAGUGUGGUUCUACAGUUUGAUCCGAGAUGGAUGCCUUUGUUCUGCAGUUUGGUGGCCUGAUAGGGUACAUGGCCACAAGGACAACUGAAUCAAUUUCUUACUUAAAGUCUGUGAGAUUAACUCGUGCAUGUGUUUCUGAACAGGGGAUGUAAUUAAGCUCCUAUUCCUGAUAGCCUACAACCGAUUUGAUUGGCUUGUGUAUGUUGCUUACAGGCUUGACUGAAUAUAAUUUACAGUAAAGAGCUUAUUUGGUUGAACCAUAUUUUACUUUGGGAGAAGAGAGAAGGCAUUUGUGUAUUUUCUUGCCAGCAGUAGCUAACUGUACUAUAGUAGAUCAUAUGCAGAGCUGGAAGGUGCAGUUGUUCCAAAUCUGGUAUUGUGCUAAUACUUCUAUCCAAGCUGCCAUGAGAAAAUGAUCCUCAUUAGUUCGAGAGGAUUUUGAGAUUUAGUAUUGCUUGUACGAGUGAUUCCUUUCUCAGUGUCACUUUCAAUAUGUUUCCUUUCUUUUCAUCCCUGUAGCGUAGAAUUGCAAGUGACAUACUCGCUGUAGUUGUAAUUGCAUUUUUGUAAGGGAUGUCGGCAUGUUAACAUACUUCGCUGGAGUGCGUUAAUUUGACCUUUUGGGACAUCUCUAUAAUUUUUUACUUUGACCGUUUUCGUUGCUUAUGCUGCAGGACAUCAUGGUGGUGGUGGACCUCGUGGUGAUCAGAGGAGUGCAGGAGGAGAUGUGUUUAAAUGGUUAGCAAGACCGUUCGGUCUGAAUAAACCUCAAAAAGCGGCAAAGGAUGAUUCAGGGGUCACUAUUGAGGAAGAAAUUAGAUGGUGGAGCUCACACUCAGAUGUAUGACCUGAAGGGAGGAUGAAGGAUAUGUUGAUGUGCUUCGAUGGUGGAGGAGGGUGUCACGGCCAUGGUUCUUCCUUUCUGCCACUGGUGGCACCGGAUGGCAUCGACGGCAUGCAGGUAAACCUUGACCAGCAGUAACGAGGUAGCCUGCAUGUCAUUUCUCAUGUUCUUUGCCCAUUUGUGUCAGAUUUCAGUUCCUUUUAUUUUCCAGAUCAUUCUGAGUUGUAGUGUAAUAUGAUGAUGGUUGUUUGUGUCUAUAGCAAGGAUGACAGAUUAAGCUUGAAAUUAAUCCGUGAGACUAUUGUUUGUGUUUCCUGUUUCUUUCUUUAGGUAGCAUCCUGGAACUGUAAUGUGGUGUGCAAUGUCUCAAACAUUUGUUAUGUAAAAGAAAUGUUGGCAUUUUGAGCUUGAAGAAUGCACUGUUAUUUUGCCUCCACAUUCUCCUGGAUUUGUGUCAGAAUUGUACUACUAUUUUCCAGUUGCUCCUUAUUUUGGUAGGAACUGGAGUUUUCGGAUGCCAAGUGUAUGCAUGUGUUACACAUGGAGUUCUUAAUUGUUGAAUUUGUUGGUCCUUUUUCACUGCUUUAGCUCUUUGUUCCAUUGCAGGAGCUAUCAACUCACUUUUCAUGUAUUUUGGUUACUGGAAAAUUUAUUGAGACUCAAGAAUCAAGACAAAGGCAACAAAAUUCCGAAGGUGGUAAUUUUUUGUUCCCAUAUGUUGGAAUGAGUGAAUACUAAUUGCUGCAAAUCUGUACUAGCCAUCCGAUACUUUGCAGAUUGCCUAUAUUAAAGCAUGGUUAGUGCGCAGUUCUGAGUUUCUGGUCCUCAUCUGCUUUCCAUUCUUGAGUGCUUUAGCCAUCAUUGUUUGAAACAUCUUAAAGCCUAAUGUUACAAUGAUAUGAUAGCCCAGAGGGAGUACUUAGCGGGAGCGAACUAGGUGGAGGCGUGAAUUGAGGGAAGGAUGGCGGCGCGGGAGCGAGCGUGGGUCACGGCGCAGCUGAGCGGUCACCAGCGUCUCUUUGCUGGCUAUAGGGGAGGCGAAGAUAUUUGGACAAGCAGGCAAGGGAGGAGGACUAGGGAAGGCGCAGGAGCAGCGAGGCCAUGGGGAAAGGGAAAGAGGCCAGUGGGAGGCUUUCUAAGCCAUGACUUAAACCAUGUCCAUCU